GUUUCAGUGGUGACUACUCAGCGGUCUGUGACCCCCUGUACAAGAGGUUUAGCAUCAAGUGCGAGCUGUGUGUGACGACUUGCAAGGAAAGACUGACGGAUGCAGCUCUCAGAAGGAGAGGUCAAAGAGUGUUGACCCAGCUCUAUUCAGUCCCUUCCUGCAGCUCCUGGAGAUAGGUGAUGUGACUAUAAAGAAAGCUUUCAUCAAGAGCAUAAGACAGAUGUUCAGCCACAUCAGCAUUCGUGCCCACAACCAAAUCACAGUGGCUAUGUUGAAUCAGUGCCUUGGCCUUGUAGAAGACACAGACCACCAAGU